rfam:Mustela putorius furo unplaced genomic scaffold scaffold00364, whole genome shotgun sequence.
CCAAAGGCUCUUUUCAGAGCCACCCCCAGCCUCAAGAAAAGAGCCG